CCAGCCUGGGCAACAAGAGCAAAACUCUGUCUCAAAAAAUAAAAAUAAAAAAAAAUCAUAAAGCAAGAGUUUCUUGCAGCUCUAUAGAGGGUGUUAUUCAGCAAUACAGUGAUUUGCUAGAAGGAAGCAUCACACAACAGUACAAGAGUGACUCAUAGGAGAGAGAGAGAAGGAGAGAGAGAGCGAGAGCAUCCAGCCCAUGAGGCUCCCUCAGCAGGGCUCCAGCAAAGCCUGGAAGAAGAGGGCGGGAGGCUAAGGCACUCACGGUGUCUUACUCAACAUGGCAGCACUGUUGGGCAAGCAAUGCUACUACCAUUUACCAUGAGGAAAGGAGUUUCUGAGAGAUCAAAUGACUUUCCCAGAUCAGGCAGCUCGCACAUGCAGGUCUGGCAGGAAAUUAAAUAUGGUGAUGUGGGAAGCAGAGGAAGAAGCGAAAAUGAGACUGCAGACUUGCGCCACAGGGAAACCAGGAAAACAUAUAAAGCAGUUACAGUGGUGUAAAAUGUAGAAACUUCAGUCUGCUUAGUAUAGGGGCAAAAUGACCUUUAUGUCCCAAAAGGCAGGCUCUGAUAGUGUCUGAGGGUCUGUGCAUCAGGCACGAGAGAGCAAAAACAAAAAUUCAAAACUACCUCCAAAAUAUGUCCGAGUGUAUUUCCUUACUGUGCAAGAAAGAAUGCAAACUAUAAAAUAUGAAAAAUUUUUCUUCCAAAAUGAUUAAUAUAUUUUGAAGAAUUUUGAUUUUAAAGGAAACAAAUUCUCACUGACCAGUAAAACAUGACUAUCCAGAAUGGCUCAUUCCUGAAGGCUUCUGAUUUUGGAACCUAUGCCUGAGACCUCCUCAGAGCUGCUGAAAAAGCCUGAGAGCUGGGACUGGCACCACAGAAGUUCCUGACCUCCAUUCACUGCCCCGUCCAGACUGGAUGCAUUAGUGGACUGUAUUUUCAUUGGUUUCUCCUGCUGUUUAGUCCUGCUGUAAAUCCGGAACAGAGAGGGCAGCUCAGUAGGAAGGGUUCCAGCUCCCAUACCACCGCAGAGAUACAGAUAAAGUCUCAUCCAAAUACACACACACACACACCCAUACAUGCACAUACACACACAUUCAUAAACACAUAAUACACAUACACACACCCAUACACCCAACACACACAAAUACAUGCACACAUAUAUAUACACACACACCCACAAACACAUUUAUAGACAAUACGUACAUCCAUGUACACAUCCAUAUGCCCAUAUACACACAUAAACAACACACUCACAUGCACACACAUACACCCACACAAACAUAAACACAUACUUACACAAAUAUAGACACCCACAUAUCCAUCAACACAUACAUACAUAUACACACCCAUACACCUGUACACACUCAUACUCACCACACACAUCCACACACAUAUCCACACACAUCACACAUAUAUACACACAUCCGUAAACACAUACACACAUACACACCCAUACACACAUACACACAACACACAACACACACAUACAUAUACACACACAUACACCCAUGCACAUAUGCACAUUACACACAACACACAGACACACACACCCAUUCAGAUAGAUACACAUACACACAACACAUACACAUACAUACCAAUAUACACAUGCACACCAACACACACCCACACACCCAUACAUGCACACACAACAGAGACACACACAUACACGCACAAAACAUAUACACACACAUGCACACACAUACACACACAGCCCAUACACACGCACAAUAGAGACUCCAGAAUUAUCAGCCUUACAUUGUCACCAUUAGAGGCUCCUUCCUUUGAAUCUCUUAAAAGACCAACCUAAAAUUGGGGAAUAAAAAUGUGCAUUAUCUUCUUGGAUCUCACUUUAUGAUCUUAAGUGUGUUCCCUUGAAUCUGAAUCUUGGCUCCCCAUCCUUAAAAUUAGAGCAGUGAACAAAAAACAUAUAUUUUAAAGGGUGUUCUGCGGAGCCCUAGUCCCAGGAACUGUUAGGAGUUCUAAGGCCUUGCAGCCAGAUAAGAUUGGGAAGGCCUGGGUGUCUUACUGGAAUUUCUCAGGACAUUUAAUGUGCUGCUCUGUGAACAAAUCCUUCGGAAGCACCGUGUUAUCCACCCUUCCUUAAUUACUCUGACCAUGGAAUCCCCCUAGUGUGUAAGGUGCCUUAGGAAAUAGGCUUCCAAACCACUCAGCCCCGCCCUCGCAAGGUCCUCUGCAGCCAUAACACUCAUCACCCAAAGACGUAGCUGCUGUCAUCAUCCCCCUCAGAGGCUCAGAAUGUUAGCUUCAGCCUCACUAACAGCAGAAGGGAACGCCUGGGGACAGGACUGUUCUAGGUGAAGGAGGGGUUGGGGAUGUGCAGAUGGUAGCAGGAGGCUUUGUGAAGGAGAGGCCAAGGGGUUCACCAGGGCCAAACUUGGCAGCCUUGCUCACAGGAGUCUACAGAUGCUGCUAACUCAGCCUCAAUCUCAGACAGACGAUCUCAUCCCCACUGUGAACAAGACGUGUGCUCCUCUAGACAAGCAUGGCUCUGGGGCUGGCAUCUGAUUCCGAUACUUACUGGACCUACAUCUUGCAUCUCAAGGAACCCCUCCCACCGAAUAUGGAAUCUCUGCGAAUCUUCCCUGCAUCAUGAGCAUAACUGCUCCAAGUCCGGCAUCCCAGAUGUCUUCCUCUUGCUAGACGUGUCCUCCCCCUGCAGCUGUAUGUGACACACCCAGAGGGGAUUCCUCAGCAUCACCCAGAGGUUGAAGCCUCUGUCAGGAACCAUUCUGUGCUACCUUUCAUUCCCACCCCCAUGCCCCCUCUCCACUCUUCUCCCUGCCCCUGCUCCAGGAGGAAGGAUGUUGUGUCUAUGACAUUCACAAACCCCUGUUUUCCAACAUCUAGUUGGGUUCAACCAACAAAGAGCUAUGGCAGAAAAUUUGCAGGAACCAAAAGAGUGAGGCUCCCUUCCUGGGGAGUCUCCCUGGACUGGCUCUGCUCUUUGAGAAAAAUGUUUGUGAGUUUAAUGUGAAACCCUGAAUGGUUUUAGAAAGAUAAGUGUGCUAGUUGAAGGCUGGUCAGGAAAAGGAUGGUCAACUCUAAUUAGAAUAAGAAAGGGACAAUUCAAUAAACGGACUAUUAUAGUGAAAGCGAACUAAAUGUGGCCUGAGAAGGACUCCCUACUUCUGUAUUUGAGUCCCUGUGGACUAACCACAACCUAACUUAGUAGGUAGAUGAGAUUGAAAACCUAAUUUAGGAGUAUGUACCUGUAACAAUAGCUGAGUCUCAGCCAAUCCAAGCAGCCAUACUUCAACCACUCAUACACUGCUGAGUGUUCAAACUGUGUUCAAAUAAAGC
rnacentral:lncRNA from 1 species